AUCCCAAAUAAGCUGAGUGUUAGUGCUUAUUUGAUUCAUGGGAGGCCAAGAGAAAAGCUGGAAGUUUCGCUGAUAAUGUCUUCUUCUUUCACUCGAAGGCAUUCAUUAGUAACUUUUACCAUACAUAA